UCGAGCGAACAGAUGAGAAGCUUGCUUCUCUGAUGUUAGCGGCGGACGGGUGAGUAACACGUGGGUAACCUACCUAUAAGACUGGGAUAACUCCGGGAAACCGGGGCUAAUACCGGAUAAUAUUUUGAACCGCAUGGUUCAAUAGUGAAAGACGGUUUCGGCUGUCACUUAUAGAUGGACCCGCGCCGUAUUAGCUAGUUGGUAAGGUAACGGCUUACCAAGGCGACGAUACGUAGCCGACCUGAGAGGGUGAUCGGCCACACUGGAACUGAGACACGGUCCAGACUCCUACGGGAGGCAGCAGUAGGGAAUCUUCCGCAAUGGGCGAAAGCCUGACGGAGCAACGCCGCGUGAGUGAUGAAGGUCUUCGGAUCGUAAAACUCUGUUGUUAGGGAAGAACAAAUUUGUUAGUAACUGAACAAGUCUUGACGGUACCUAACCAGAAAGCCACGGCUAACUACGUGCCAGCAGCCGCGGUAAUACGUAGGUGGCAAGCGUUAUCCGGAAUUAUUGGGCGUAAAGCGCGCGUAGGCGGUUUCUUAAGUCUGAUGUGAAAGCCCACGGCUCAACCGUGGAGGGUCAUUGGAAACUGGGAAACUUGAGUGCAGAAGAGGAGAGUGGAAUUCCAUGUGUAGCGGUGAAAUGCGCAGAGAUAUGGAGGAACACCAGUGGCGAAGGCGGCUCUCUGGUCUGUAACUGACGCUGAUGUGCGAAAGCGUGGGGAUCAAACAGGAUUAGAUACCCUGGUAGUCCACGCCGUAAACGAUGAGUGCUAAGUGUUAGGGGGUUUCCGCCCCUUAGUGCUGCAGCUAACGCAUUAAGCACUCCGCCUGGGGAGUACGACCGCAAGGUUGAAACUCAAAGGAAUUGACGGGGACCCGCACAAGCGGUGGAGCAUGUGGUUUAAUUCGAAGCAACGCGAAGAACCUUACCAAAUCUUGACAUCCUUUGACCGCUCUAGAGAUAGAGUCUUCCCCUUCGGGGGACAAAGUGACAGGUGGUGCAUGGUUGUCGUCAGCUCGUGUCGUGAGAUGUUGGGUUAAGUCCCGCAACGAGCGCAACCCUUAAGCUUAGUUGCCAUCAUUAAGUUGGGCACUCUAGGUUGACUGCCGGUGACAAACCGGAGGAAGGUGGGGAUGACGUCAAAUCAUCAUGCCCCUUAUGAUUUGGGCUACACACGUGCUACAAUGGAUAAUACAAAGGGCAGCGAAUCCGCGAGGCCAAGCAAAUCCCAUAAAAUUAUUCUCAGUUCGGAUUGUAGUCUGCAACUCGACUACAUGAAGCUGGAAUCGCUAGUAAUCGUAGAUCAGCAUGCUACGGUGAAUACGUUCCCGGGUCUUGUACACACCGCCCGUCACACCACGAGAGUUUGUAACACCCGAAGCCGGUGGAGUAACCUUUUAGGAGCU
rnacentral:rRNA from 2 species